rnacentral:rRNA from 1 species
UACAGAGGGUGCGAGCGUUAAUCGGAAUUACUGGGCGUAAAGCGCGCGUAGGCGGCUUUGCAAGUCGGGUGUGAAAUCCCCAGGCUUAACCUGGGAACUGCAUUCGAGACUGCAUUGCUAGAGUAUGGGAGAGGGAAGUGGAAUUUCCGGUGUAGCGGUGAAAUGCGUAGAUAUCGGAAGGAACAUCAGUGGCGAAAGCGACUUCCUGGACCAAUACUGACGCUCAUGUGCGAAAGCGUGAGGAGCGAACAGG